rnacentral:misc_RNA from 1 species
UUAAUAUGAAACGAUUAUAAGAAAGAAAAGAAAUGUAUUAAUAUUUUUAAAAUAUAAAUACAUAUUUCUUUUUUUUUAAUGUACUUUUUUUAUAAAAGGUGUAAUAUAAUAAUAUUUUAGAUAUUUUUUACUAUUUUAUAAAAAAAGUACGAAAAUUUGAUAUUACAUAAUAAAAUUAUUUUUUAUUAAAUAAUUUAUGGUAAUAUCAAAUUUUCACCAACAAUAUUGAAUACUCAAAAUUUUGCAUAAUUAUUUGUUUUAUAUAUAUAUAUAUAAUAUCUUUAUGAGUAGUUAUAUUUUGAAGAAAAUUAUAUUUAAUACAAUAAUAUUUUUAUAACUUACAUUUAAUUUUUAAUAUAAUUUAUA